AAAAAAUUAUGAUCCAUGGGGCCGGGGAGGGUGCGGCGCACCCCUCAGAGACACCCAAGGGGACCUCAUUACUGACCUGAAGCAGAUGCACAGGCAGAAUGAGGAAGCUUGGCUGAACCCCGAGACCUCUCAGAGAAAAGUCACCAGGCCUAACCUGAGAGAGGACAGACUGCCUCCUAUCAACACAGUGUCAGGUUUUGCCCCUGUCCAAACCUCCAUGUAUGCCAGAGGAAAUGUGUUUCCUAACCAGCCAACGCUUCAUCAACUCACUGAACUGGAUAAGUAUAAGCUUGGCCUAAAACAACAGGUACAGUGUGGUGUGGUUUGGGAUGUGUUAUGUACAGAUUUCAAGACCCUGGCCUCUGGUGGCUGUUGGGUCUUUUAGCUUCACAAGCCAUUGAUUUGAAGGAUGUUGUGUACUCUACACAAACACACACACACACAUACAGGUACAUGAUGUUGUAUAACAAACUGUUUACCCCUCAGAGAAAGGCCAAAGUCACCUGGCCCAUCCUGAGAGAGGACAGACUGCCUCCUAUCAACACA